UGUAAAGUCAAUUGAAAAAGACAGGCAAGGUCCACGAAGCGGAAUUAAUAAUUUCUUUAUUCAAGGAAUGAUGUACUUGCUAAUUCGUCGGAUCCAUAAUCAGUUGUUACAAGCAUAUUCAAUCGAUUACCGCACACAGAAACUUUAUAUUUAUAGAACACUACGUCCACACUGCAAGGAAUAAUCCAAGACAUGCAAAGAAGAAUUAAUAUUGAAUGGACCUGUCAUAAACUUCUCCUAAAAAGGUCGUAGGAUAGAGACAAAGGAAUGACCCCUGAGACCAGUAAUCUCGCAAAACUCACGGUCGGCCCGUGACGGGACGCUCAAUUAAUCCAGACAUAAUUAUCGCUAAUUAUAGUAGCUGACACAGCGAAAACGAGUUCGGGGUUACAUGCUAGCCUGUAUGAAGGCUCGUGCCCCGGUAAGAGCGCCCGGAUUCUGUCUUUUUCUUUCCAACUUUUGCCACGGAAUCACGGCGAGUGAACGUUUUGAUGCGCUGUCUACUCCGUAAUCGGGGAUAAACGGCGAUUAGGUAAUCCUUGCGAUGCGGAAGACAUGUGGAGCCUCCUGUAUAUGCAUGCAUGUAUGCUGAAUGUACAUCUCUCUUUCCCCGGAUCGGUGGUCUAACCUCGCUCGCGGGGGAACACUAUAAUCGACAGCUCUGCCCCCCUGAUGGUUGACUACUGAUGCAACUUGCAGAUUAUGCACCUUGGGGGUUGCGUCCUGAUUCUUUGAA